AAUAUUGGACAAUGGGCGCAAGCCUGAUCCAGCCAUGCCGCGUGAGUGAUGAAGGCCUUAGGGUUGUAAAGCUCUUUCACCGAUGAAGAUAAUGACGGUAGCGGCAGAAGAAGUCCCGGCUAACUCCGUGCCAGCAGCCGCGGUAAUACGGAGGGGACUCGCGUUGUUCGGAAUUACUGGGCGUAAAGCGCACGUAGGCGGAUUGGUCAGUUAGGGGUGAAAUCCCGGAGCUCAACUCCGGAACUGCCUUUAAUACUGCCAGUCUAGAGUCCGAGAGAGGUGAGUGGAACUCCUAGUGUAGAGGUGGAAUUCGUAGAUAUUAGGAAGAACACCAGUGGCGAAGGCGGCUCACUGGCUCGGUACUGACGCUGAGGUGCGAAAGCGUGGGGAGCAAACA
rnacentral:rRNA from 1 species